CCAGACUCCUACGGGAGGCAGCAGUGGGGAAUAUUGCACAAUGGGGAAAACCCUGAUGCAGCAACGCCGCGUGAGUGAGGAAGUAUUUCGGUAUGUAAAGCUCUAUCAGCAGGGAAUAGAAAAGAAGGUACCUGAAAAAGAAGCCCCGGCUAACUACGUGCCAGCAGCCGCGGUAAUACGUAGGGGGCAAGCGUUAUCCGGAUUUACUGGGUGUAAAGGGCGUGUAGGCGGGACUGCAAGUCAGAUGUGAAAACCACGGGCUCAACCUGUGGCCUGCAUUUGAAACUGUAGUUCUUGAGUACUGGAGAGGCAGACGGAAUUCCUAGUGUAGCGGUGAAAUGCGUAGAUAUUAGGAGGAACACCAGUGGCGAAGGCGGUCUGCUGGACAGCAACUGACGCUGAGGCGCGAAAGCGUGGGGAGCAAACAGGAUUAGAUACCCCCGUAC
rnacentral:rRNA from 1 species